GAAAUGCGAUAAGUAAUGUGAAUUGCAGAAUUCAGUGAAUCAUCGAAUCUUUGAACGCACCUUGCGCUCCUUGGUAUUCCUUGGAGCAUGCCUGUUUGAGUAUCAUGAAAUCUUCAAAGUAAAUCUUUUGUUAACUCAAUUGGUUUCUACUUUGGUAUUGGAGGUCUUUGCAGCUUCACACCUGCUCCUCUUUGUUCAUUAGCUGGAUCUCAGUGUUAUGCUUGGUUCCACUCGGCGUGAUAAGUUAUCUAUCGCUGAGGACACUGUAAAAGGUGGCCAAGGUAAAUGCAGAUGAACCGCUUCUAAUAGUCCAUUGACUUGGACAAUACUUUUAUGAUCUGAUCUCAAAUCAUGUAGGACUACCCGCUGACCUUAAGC
rnacentral:misc_RNA from 1 species